rnacentral:rRNA from 1 species
UACGGAGGGUGCAAGCGUUGUCCGGAAUCACUGGGCGUAAAGGGCGCGUAGGCGGCUCAUGAAGGCUGUGGUGAAAGUCCGGGGCUCAACCUCGGAUCGGCCGUGGCGACUCGUGGGCUGGAGCACUGUAGAGGCGGGUGGAAUUCCGGGUGUAGCGGUGGAAUGCGUAGAGAUGCGGAAGAACACCGGUGGCGAAGGCGGCCUGCUGGGCAGUGGCUGACGCUGAGGCGCGACAGCGUGGGGAGCAAACAGG